rnacentral:rRNA from 1 species
GAUGAACGCUGGCGGCGUGCCUAAUACAUGCAAGUCGAGCGAACGGACGAGAAGCUUGCUUCUCUGAUGUUAGCGGCGGACGGGUGAGUAACACGUGGAUAACCUACCUAUAAGACUGGGAUAACUUCGGGAAACCGGAGCUAAUACCGGAUAAUAUUUUGAACCGCAUGGUUCAAAAGUGAAAGACGGUCUUUCUGUCACUUAUAGAUGGAUCCGCGCUGCAUUAGCUAGUUGGUAAGGUAACGGCUUACCAAGGCAACGAUGCAUAGCCGACCUGAGAGGGUGAACGGCCACCCUGGAACUGAGACACGGCACAGACUCCUACGGGAGGCAGCAGUAGGGACUCUUACGCAAGGGGCGAAAGCCGGACGGAGCAACGCCGCGUGAGUGAUGAAGGUCUUCGGAUCGUAAAACUCUGUUAUUAGGGAAGAACAUAUGUGUAAGUAACUGUGCACAUCUUGACGGUACCUAAUCAGAAAGCCACGGCUAACUACGUG